UACGUAGGGUGCAAGCGUUGUCCGGAAUUAUUGGGCGUAAAGAGCUCGGUAGGCGGUUUGUUGCGUCGGCUGUGAAAUCCCGAGGCUCAACCUCGGGUCUGCAGUCGAUACGAGCAAACUAGAGUGUUGCAGGGGAGACUGGAAGUUCCUGGUGUAGCGGUGAAAUGACGCAGAUAGUCAGGAGGAACACCCGGUGGCGAAGGCGGGUCUCUGGGCAACAACUGACGCUGGAGGAGCGAAAGCCGUGGGGAGCGAAACAGG
rnacentral:rRNA from 1 species